rnacentral:rRNA from 1 species
GUGAACGCUGGCGGUCGGCCUAACCCAUGCCAGUCGAACGGCAGCACAGUAAGAGCUUGCUCUUACGGGUGGCGAGUGGCGAACGGGUGGGGAAUACAUCGGAAUCUACUCUUUCGUGGGGGACAACGUAGGGAAACGUACGCUAAUACCGCAUACGACCUACGGGUGAAAUCAGGGGAUCUUCGGACCUUGCGCGUUUGAAUGAGCCGAUGUCGGAUUAGCUAGUUGGGGGGGUAAAGGCCCACCAAGGCGACGAUCCGUAGCUGGUCUGAGAGGAUGUUCAGCCACACUGGAACUGAGACACGGUCCAGACUCCUCCGGGAGGAGGAAGUGGGGAAUAUUGGCCAAUGGGCGCAAGCCUGAUCCAGCCAUACCGCGUAGGUGAAGAAGGCCUUCGGGUGGUAAAGCCCUUUUGUUGGGAAGGAAAAGCAGCAGGUUAAUACCCCGCUGUUCUGACGGUACCCAAAUAAUAAGCACCGGCUAACUUCGUG